rnacentral:rRNA from 1 species
UCCACGCCGUAAACUAUGAUCACUCGUUGUCUGCGAUACACGGUAGGCGACUGAGCGAAAGCAUUAAGUGAUCCACCUGGGGAGUACGUUGGCAACAAUGAAACUCAAAGGAAUUGACGGGGGCCCGCACAAGCGGAGGAACAUGUGGUUUAAUUCGAUGAUACGCGAGGAACCUUACCCGGGUUUAAAUGUAGGACGAAAUUCUGAGAAAUCGGAACCCCUUCGGGCGGACU